CACAGGGCAGGGAAGCUUCAUGGGAACGCUGAUGCCAUGUCGAGAAGGGAUGACUGCUGUUGGUCUGUCGCUCCCCACCGAGGUUCAGAGCUGAGGGUGGGGGUAUGUGGUGGCCCAGCCGCUGAGCAGUGCCCCACAUGGCCACGGGGUGGCCACAAAGGCAGGCAAAGGCAGCCAAGGGGUGUGGUUCUGGAUGGGAGGUACUACGCAGCUUACCCUGCACAGGUGCGCUGAGUUAGCCCUGCAAUCAGAGGGCCUUUUUCACUCCACCAGAACAGGCUGAAGAGGGACUGGCUGGAGGAGCGUGUGGUGUGGAGACCAGAGACACGUUAGGCCAGUCUCGUGGCCGGCAGCUGAAGAGGAACCCCAACGACUUGAAGAGGAACCCCAACGACUUGAAGAGGAAACCCAAGCCGAACUAGGGCGAAGAGGUCAGUGGCAGGGACCACAGACCCCACUAACCUCAGACUAUCUUUCUCUCUCUCUCUCUGGCCCCACCCCAGGAAGAGCCAGAAAGGGCAC